rnacentral:rRNA from 1 species
AGAGCGAACGCUGGCGGCAGGCUUAACACAUGCAAGUCGAGCGGGCGUAGCAAUACGUCAGCGGCAGACGGGUGAGUAACGCGUGGGAACAUACCUUUGGUUCGGAACAACCCAGGGAAACUUGUGCUAAUACCGGAUAAGCCCUUACGGGGAAAGAUUUAUCGCCGAAAGAUUGGCCCGCGUCUGAUUAGCUAGUUGGUGAGGUAACGGCUCACCAAGGCGACGAUCAGUAGCUGGUCUGAGAGGAUGAUCAGCCACAUUGGGACUGAGACACGGCCCAAACUCCUACGGGAGGCAGCAGUGGGGAAUAUUGGACAAUGGGCGCAAGCCUGAUCCAGCCAUGCCGCGUGAGUGAUGAACGGCCCGUAGGGUUGUAAAGCUUCUUUUGUGCGGGAAGAUAAGUGACGGUACCGACAAGAAUAACGCCCGGACUAACUUCGCGCCAGCAGCCGC